AAGGUCCCUGAAUCCUCGAGCCCUGUCAGAGCCUUGAGCAGUGCCACCUGCGGGUGACUCGCCACUAUCGCUGGCCAGGACUUCUGGAUAUUGGCAAGAAUCAGUCAGUGAGUCGACAAUCAUUAAGCGCUGACUCUGUGCCAGGCAAUGUGCUGGCCGCAGGGAAUAACAAGAAAGGCAAAAAACAGUGUUCACGCUCUGUGGUGGUAAAGUUGGAAGGGAACUGAGAGAUCAUCCAGGCUGACCCUUUUGGUUUCCAGAGGAGGAAAGUAAGACUCUGAAAACUUCUAGUGAUUUGCUCAGCAGAAUUGGCACUAGAACCUUCACUUCCUCUGAAGUGAGAAAAGGGAAGCUCCCUAAAAAUUGUCUGUGAAGCUCAGUAGUUGCAAAAUCAGGACUGAAGCCAAAGCUCCUGGCUCCAGGGAAGGCUUCUAUGGGACAUGGAGCAGUGGAGGUGUGGGAAAAGAAGACAGAGUUGGAAGAAGAUGGAUUAAAAAUUGUGAGGCGGGGGGUGAGGAGGUGGUUGGGAAUGGCAAAAGCAAUGAUUUCAGAGAAACCUCAGAAGACUUGUAUGAACUGAUGCAGACUGAAGUAAGCAAAAAUAGGAGAACCAUAACAACAUUGUAAAGGCAAACAACUUUGAAAGAGUCAAGAACUCUCAUCAGUUCAGUGACCAACCACUAUUCCAGAGGACCCAUGAUGAAAUAUGAUAUGCAUCUUCUGACAUAGAGGUGAUAGUCUUAGGAUGCUGGUUGAGGCAUUUAUAUUUUUGGAUAUGGCGAAUGUGGGAAUUAGUUUUACUUCAUUAUGCAUAUUUGU